UGAACCUACAUGUGUAGGAUAGGUGGGAGGCUAUGAAGACGUGACGCCAGUUGCGUUGGAGCCGUCCUUGAAAUACCACCCUUGUAUGUUUGAUGUUCUAACUUAGACCCGUUAUCCGGGUUGAGGACAGUGCCUGGUGGGUAGUUUGACUGGGGCGGUCUCCUCCCAAAGAGUAACGGAGGAGCACGAAGGUGGGCUAAUCACGGUUGGACAUCGUGAGGUU
rnacentral:rRNA from 1 species